rnacentral:rRNA from 1 species
CCCUUAGAUGUUCUGGGCCGCACGCGCGCUACACUGAUGCAUUCAACGAGUCUAAAACCUGCUCUGAUAGGGGUGGGUAAUCUUUUGAAUGUGCAUCGUGAUUGGGAUAGAUGAUUGCAAUUUUUCAUCUUCAACGAGGAAUGCCUAGUAAACGCAAGUCAUCAGCUUGCAUUGAUUACGUCCCUGCCCUUUGUACACACCGCCCGUCGCUCCUACCGAUUGAAUGAUCCGAUGAAUAUCAUGGAUUGAGGAUGCAAGCAGGUUCGCCUGUUUUCAUCUUCGAGAAGUGAAGUAAAUCUUAUCAUUUAGAGGAAGGAGAAGUCGUAACA